AUCUGAUCUCAAAUCAGGUAGGACUACCCGCUGAACUUAAGCAUAUCAAUAAGCGGAGGAAAAGAAACUAACAAGGAUUCCCCUAGUAACGGCGAGUGAAGCGGGAAGAGCUCAAAUUUAAAAUCUGGCGGUGUAUUCCGUCCGAGUUGUAGUCUAGAGAAGCAUCAUCCGUGCUGGACCAUGUACAAGUCUCUUGGAACAGAGCGUCAUAGAGGGUGAGAAUCCCGUCCUUGACAUGGACUCCCAGUGCUUUGUGUUGUGCUCUCAACGAGUCGAGUUGUUUGGGAAUGCAGCUCAAAAUGGGUGGUAAAUUCCAUCUAAAGCUAAAUAUUGGCGAGAGACCGAUAGCGAACAAGUACCGUGAGGGAAAGAUGAAAAGCACUUUGGAGAGAGAGUUAAACAGUACGUGAAAUUGUUGAAAUGGAAACGCUUGAAGUCAGUCGCGUUCUCUGGGAUUCAGCCUUGCUUCUGCUUGGUGCACUUCCUAGUUUACGGGCCAACAUGGAUUUUGACCGGUGGAAAAGGAUUUGGGGAAUGUGGCACCUCCGGGGUGUGUUAUAGCCCCUUGUCGCAUACAUCGGUUGGGAUCGAGGUUUCAGUGCACGCUUCG
rnacentral:rRNA from 1 species